rnacentral:lncRNA from 1 species
GGCUUUUGUUCCCUAGGGGGAAGAGGGGAAGAUAAUUCAUAUGGAGCAUCACACCAGCUAUCUCCUGCUCCCUGUCCUGCACUGCAAAGGAGGCCUUUUCAUCCUCUCUACUGCCUCCAAUUUUUCUCACGAGGAAUGUGAGAGGAAAACCUUUUGUCAGUUUCAAAUACUCAUGUAUCUGAUUGUCAAUGCUGGAGAGCUGGGGCCAGGGCAGUAGUUGAUGAAUAUCACCUGACUGUCUCCUGCAGAAAAAGCAUUCCCAGAAGCACGGAGAAGUGAGGAGAAAAGGCAAUGCACCUGGAGCUGGAGACCAAGGCCCUGUUCUUACUGAUGGCCCUUGGAGCAGAUAUUUGAAUUGGAGAGAUAAAACCGUGGUUUUUGGGGUGUUAAUUUUGGUGGCUGAUGCAUUCUGUGAUUGAUUUGGCUAUUACAACUGGUAUUGAUUUUAAACACAUUAAUUGCAAAAUCUCAAUUGUGAUUUGAUUUCUGUAUUUACAAUACUAAAAACGAGGCUUUCGCCAGGAGAAGACAAUUGGCAGUACUCAGUUGGAAGUGCUUAAUUGUUAAUAUAUAUCAGCCGUGGUUCUUCAGCGUCGUCAGUGUUGCUCAGUCUUGCUCUUUGUGGCGACUACUGAAUGCUUGAAAAAUUCUCUCCUAUACUCCCACUCUGCACUGUAGAAGAGAAAGAGAGGAGAGUGGAAGAAAAAAGAGAGGGAGAGGAGAAAGAAAGAGAGGAGAGAGAAACAUGGGCAUGGAUGAUACAUAAGGUAGUUGUAAACUGUGAUCAGCUUUGAUAAUAACUAGAUAAAUUCUUUUAAUACAAAAAUAUAUAAGGCAUUUUGCCUUUUUUUCAAAUUUCAAAUAAAUGGAUUUGUAUAGAAUGUAGUCUGUUGCCCAGAGUUUUCAUUUAGCAUAAUGCAUUUGAGAUUUAUCCAUGUUGUUGUAUAUUCUUUUUAUUGCUGAGUAGUAUUCCAUUGUGUGGAUAUACCAGUUUGUUUAUCCAUUAACCUUUGAUGGAUAUUUGGGUUUUUUUCAAUAUGAGGCUCUUAUAAAUAAACCUUCUGUAAUCAGG